rnacentral:rRNA from 1 species
CCUACGGGAGACAGCAGUGAGGAAUAUUGGUCAAUGGGAGCGAUCCUGAACCAGCCAAGCCGCGUGAGGGAAGACGGCUCUAUGGGUUGUAAACCUCUUUUGUCGGAGGACAAAACCCGGUACGGGUCCCGGACUGAGAGUAUCCGAAGAAAAAGAAUCGGCUAACUCCGUGCCAGCAGCCGCGGUAAUACGGAGGAUGCGAGCGUUAUCCGGCUUUAUUGGGUUGAAAGGGUUCGUAGGCGGUCCGUUAAGUCAGCGGUAAAAUUGCGGGGCUCAACUCCGUCGUGCCGUGGAGACUGGCAGACUUGAGAGGGCGUGAGGUACGCGGAAUGCGUGGUGUAGCGGUGAAAUGCAUAGAUAUCGCACAGAACUCCGAUUGCGAAGGCAGCGUACC